AGAACGAACGCUGGCGGCAUGCCUAAUACAUGCAAGUCGAACGAACUCUUCGGAGUUAGUGGCGCACGGGUGCGUAACGCGUGGGAAUCUGCCCUUGGGUUCGGAAUAACAGUUGGAAACGACUGCUAAUACCGGAUGAUGACGAAAGUCCAAAGAUUUAUCGCCAAGGGAUGAGCCCGCGUAGGAUUAGCUAGUUGGUGAGGUAAAGGCUCACCAAGGCAACGAUCCUUAGCUGGUCUGAGAGGAUGAUCAGCCACACUGGGACUGAGACACGGCCCAGACCUCCUACGGGAGGCAGCAGGUAAGGGAAUAGUUGGAACAAGUGGGACGAAAGCCUAGAUCCAGCAAUGCCGCGUAGGACGUAGGA
rnacentral:rRNA from 1 species